GUGCUCUGUUUGGCAGCACACAUACUAAAAAAUUAGAAUGAUACAGAGAUUAGCAUGGCCCCGGCACAACAAUACCAUGCAAUCUUCUGAAAUAUUCCAUAUUUUU
ensembl:snRNA U6 U6 spliceosomal RNA